UACGUAGGUGGCAAGCGUUGUCCGGAAUUACUGGGCGUAAAGGGCGUGUAGGCGGCCUUUUUAAGUCAGGCGUGAAAUCCAUGGGCUUAACCCAUGAAUUGCGUUUGAAACUGAAGGGCUUGAGGAUCGGAGAGGGCAGUGGAAUUCCCAGUGUAGCGGUGAAAUGCGUAGAUAUUGGGAGGAACACCAGUGGCGAAGGCGACUGCCUGGACGACACCUGACGCUGAGGCGCGAAAGCUAGGGGAGCAAACGGG
rnacentral:rRNA from 1 species